rnacentral:rRNA from 1 species
UGACGCAGCGACGCCGCGUGGAGGAUGAAGGUUUUCGGAUCGUAAACUCCUGUCAAGAGGGAAGAAACCUAUUAGAGUUAAUAGCUCUAGUAAUUGACGGUACCUCUAGAGGAAGCACCGGCUAAUUCAGUGCCAGCAGCCGCGGUAAU